AAUGGCAGAGCAGGAGUUCCUCAGUUCUUAGGUCCUGGACUCAGUUCUCCAGACUGUGCUGUUUCCUAAACAUAUUAUAUAAAAUAAUAAUGUGUACUAACAAUGUCAUAAAAUACCCUUCGUUAUAAUCCACAUCUUGGCAGUGCCCACAGUGUAGUAGAUGAUUCUUCUAUGAAGAAUUUACAAUCUAAAUGAAGUUGCAACAUGACAAGUGAAGACAAACUGAAAAGGGAGCAGUAUCCGGCUUUAAACUGCCUGGAGUAUAUUGGCCACCAUGAUAACCUAAUGGAGCCUUCUUUCUUCAUGGAAACAAACAUUAAUUGAGUAUAUUUCUCUGAAGAGAAAAUUAGAGAUACAGAAGCAGGAAGAGUUUCUGAGGACAGGAUUGCUUCUGUCUCCAUCCUUUCACACAUUUGUGUAGGAUUUUGCAUCAGUCAAAUCAGUGGAUGGUUUGAAAGAGGAUGGAAAAAAAGAACUCCCCAACCCUGGGGCCAGAUUGGGGAGGAGCUACCAGCAUAUAUUUUAAAAGUCACUGAUUGGUAAGGGGGGGUCCCAGACCAGCAGAAUAAGAGAGUGCGCAUCUAAUGAGGCAGUAGGGUUGAGCAAGACAGAACUGUGUUGUUAAAGCUCUUAUUUACACACACACACCCAUUUGUGAGAGUGUUGUUGGAUUGUACUACAUCUAAUGAGAAAACAAAUAAAGCUGUUGUAUUUUUUAC